CCACGCGAAAUGGCUCGCUUCCUUAAACCCUUACCCCUUCUUCGCCGCUCCUUCCUCUCCGUUCCCGGCAGCCACCCCUCCGCCUUCGACGAGAACCUCCUCCGCCUCCUACGCAACGAGAUCUCCUACCUCUCCGACUACCUACGCCCUCGCCCGCCGCCGCAGCGCUUCGGGUCGUUCUCCAUCGAGGACCGCCCCGGCGAGCAGUGGAUCCGCCUCCGGAGCAAGCACGGUGAUGAGGACGUCAAGGUCGACGUCACCAUGUUCGACGGCGCCGCGCCCGUCCCCUCCGCCCCGAUCGCCGAGAAGGUGAAGGCUUUGGAGCGCGGUCCCCGCCUCCACAUCAGCCUCAUCGUUGAGGUCUCCCGGGGCGAGGCCUCCGACUCCGUCCUCGAACUCAUCUGCUCCGCUUGGCCCGAUUCCCUCGUCGUUGAGACGCUCUUCCCUCUGCACCGGAAGGUCGCUGUCUUUCGCCCAUACUUUGGUCGCAACUUCAAGAAUUUGGAGCAGGAGGUGCGGAGGCAGGUGAUCUCGUAUCUGGAGGAGCGGGGGGUGGACGACGAUCUCGCGGAGUUCUUGCAUGAGUAUAUGACCAACAAGGACAAAGUGGAGCUCCUUAGAUGGUUGAGGAUCGUCGAGUCUUAUGUCCUGAAGUAGAGAGGUUGAACACCUAUUUAUUGAUCUUCUUCUUGCGACUGCACCUAACAAUUACCUCUAUUAUUCUGUACAAAAUCUCACUGGUCUAUGUUAACCAGUUAAAGAAGUUGUCUUGAGACACCAUUCCAUGGUUGCAGAUGUAGAUGAUCAGGAGCAAUGUUGGGGAUGGAGAAGCGUCUUGUUUAUGGAUUGGCCAUAAGAUCACUUGGGAACUUCUGCCAACUGUUGCAACAUCUCUUCAACACUACAUCUCUAUCACCUUCUUCUUUAUUAAAUAGUGCUUCCAACUGUGGUCACUAAUUGAGGAAAGUGAGAAACAUUCUUACUCCAUUCUUUCUAAUGAAAAGUUCAUCAUGUUGCUUUACUAUGCUUACCACUUGAUCAAGAUGGUUCCUUAUAGCUUUGCAGAGAAACUGUUCCUGUCCCUGUGGUGCCAAAUGAACAAGUUGGCAGCGACAUUAAGGUACCAUUCAGCAAUAACUAUUUGUUCACCAAGAAUUCUACUCUUUCAUCUUUUGAGGCCAACAGGGAUUAAGAAGAUAAUAAAAGUCACAGCUUCUUGACGUAGUGAAUCCUCUUCCUUCUCGUCUCCCCUAUUCCCUAUUCUGUGAAGGGAGAUUUCCUUCCUUGUGAUACAAAGGCAUGAGAUGGUAGGAGAUUUAUUGCUGUCUGCAUGCAUGGCCUGCUCUCAUAGUCUGAAUGGAGUUACAGGGAAGGACAAGAGUAGAUCGAAUUGCUCACUGCUAUUAAUCUCUAGCUUAAACUUUACGUGGAUAGAUAUGAAGAUGG